rnacentral:rRNA from 1 species
UACGUAGGGUGCGAGCGUUGUCCGGAAUUAUUGGGCGUAAAGAGCUCGUAGGCGGUUUGUCGCGUCGGCCGGUGAAAACUUGGGGCUUAACCCCGAGCCUGCGGUGGAUACGGGCUAGCUAGAGUGUGGUAGGGGAGAUCGGAAUUCCUGGUGUAGCGGUGAAAUGCGCAGAUAUCAGGAGGAACACCGGUGGCGAAGGCGGAUCUCUGGGCCAUUACUGACGCUGAGGAGCGAAAGCGUGGGGAGCGAACAGG